UACGUAGGGCGCAAGCGUUGUCCGGAAUUAUUGGGCGUAAAGAGCUCGUAGGCGGCCUGUUGCGUCCGCUGUGAAAUCCCGGGGCUUAACCCCGGGCCUGCAGUGGAUACGGGCAGGCUGGAGGCAGGCAGGGGAGAACGGAAUUCCCGGUGUAGAGGUGAAAUUCGUAGAUAUUGGGAAGAACACCGGUGGCGAAGGCGGCUAUAUGGACUGUAACUGACGCUGAGGCGCGAAAGCUAGGGGAGCAAACAGG
rnacentral:rRNA from 1 species